rnacentral:rRNA from 1 species
GGAGCGCGACGCUCUCCCAAAGGACGAAGCCAUGCAUGCCCGCUCACCCGGGACGCGGCGGACGGCUCAGGACGACGGUUGCACCCCCCGCGGCGGUCCCUGCUAGCCGGACACCGCUGGCAACCCGGCGCCAAGACGUGCGCGCAAGGGCGGGCGCCCGCGGG